CUCCGUGUUGCAGGCCGGUGGGAGUCUGGGGCAAAAUCGUGGGUUCGCUGUGUGCCAUCGCCGGCGUGCUGACCAUCGCGCUGCCGGUCCCGGUGAUCGUCUCCAAC
rfam:Zootermopsis nevadensis contig9470, whole genome shotgun sequence.